rnacentral:miRNA from 2 species
AUAAGACGAGCAUAAAGCUUGU